rnacentral:tRNA from 1 species
GGGGGGGUUGCCCGCGCGCGAUGGCGAGGCUACGAAGCGCGUCGGAGUACAGACUGAGACUCAAGCUCAGACUGAUGACUUCGACGUGUCAGUACAGGUUCGAAUCCUGUCUCCCUCA